GUGGUGGCUCAGUGGUAGAGUGCAUGCCUAGCAUUCGCUAGACACUGGGUUCGAACCUCAGCACCACA
rnacentral:tRNA from 1 species